rnacentral:sRNA from 1 species
UAGUCAUGGAGCAGAAGGGGUGGAGUUCUGCUUCACAUUAGGCCACGGAUUUUCUGGAGAAGGUCUCAGCACAUGGAACAUCUUGCUAGGAUCUUUGCAGGAUGUUUGGCUAUCUUCAUUUCUGUGUUGUUAGGUUGAUUCGCUUUCUUCAGUUUUUCUCCUUUGUUGCUUGUGCUGAAAGGGUCCCUCUUUUCCCAAUUGAUAGGCCUAGGUAGCUGAACUAAUGAUGAACUUGACACGUACGUGUUGUACAGGUUUCUGAUUUGCAAGCAAAGUUAUGCGAUGUGCCUCCAUUUAGCUCGGUAUGGUUGAGGGGAGUGUCGUUUUGGAAUGUAAAGAUGCUCUUGUUUUGCUGUGUCUUCUGUUUGACUUAGAGAACCUAAAAAAAUCUUACCUGAUUGAUAUUUAUUGG